CCGAUAUUCUUUGUUAAAUCUACAUGAAUCGAAAGAACUCCAAGUAAUGCUCCAAAUACACUUCAACAAACAAAUAAAUAUAAGUCGGAAAAACGUAAAAUUUGCGGUUGGAAUGUUCGUAAAACAUACAUAUAAUGUUAAUAGUUGUACAGGUGUAAUAAUUGGAUGGCACCGACAGGAUACAGUACAUCUAUUACGUGGAUCAAAAAAGACACGAAAAAGUUUAAUUAUUCUAACUUUACAAAUGAGCACGUGUGGUUAAUGCCGAUAAAUAAAUGUCAUUUUUUUCAAAGGAACGAAACAUAUUACAUAAUUCUAACGAACAAUGACGAACUUUGUUAUGUGGGAGAAGACGUUUUGAAAUUAACAACGCCGCAAUGGAUAGAGAAUAACGAAAUAGGUCGUUAUUUUCGUGCAUUUAACGGCACACAUUACGUACCAAAUGAAAGGUUGGCAACGAUUUAUC